UCGAAUUACCUGAAGGGGAACUGGUCGC
rnacentral:piRNA from 1 species